UAAUGUCUGGGAAACUGCCUGAUGGAGGGGGAUAACUACUGGAAACGGUAGCUAAUACCGCAUAACGUCGCAAGACCAAAGAGGGGGACCUUCGGGCCUCUUGCCAUCAGAUGUGCCCAGAUGGGAUUAGCUAGUAGGUGGGGUAACGGCUCACCUAGGCGACGAUCCCUAGCUGGUCUGAGAGGAUGACCAGCCACACUGGAACUGAGACACGGUCCAGACUCCUACGGGAGGCAGCAGUGGGGAAUAUUGCACAAUGGGCGCAAGCCUGAUGCAGCCAUGCCGCGUGUAUGAAGAAGGCCUUCGGGUUGUAAAGUACUUUCAGCGGGGAGGAAGGCGAUAAGGUUAAUAACCUUGUCGAUUGACGUUACCCGCAGAAGAAGCACCGGCUAACUCCGUGCCAGCAGCCGCGGUAAUACGGAGGGUGCAAGCGUUAAUCGGAAUUACUGGGCGUAAAGCGCACGCAGGCGGUCUGUCAAGUCGGAUGUGAAAUCCCCGGGCUCAACCUGGGAACUGCAUUCGAAACUGGCAGGCUAGAGUCUUGUAGAGGGGGGUAGAAUUCCAGGUGUAGCGGUGAAAUGCGUAGAGAUCUGGAGGAAUACCGGUGGCGAAGGCGGCCCCCUGGACAAAGACUGACGCUCAGGUGCGAAAGCGUGGGGGAGCAAACAGGAUUAGAUACCCUGGUAGUCCACGCCGUAAACGAUGUCGACUUGGAGGUUGUGCCCUUGAGGCGUGGCUUCCGGAGCUAACGCGUUAAGUCGACCGCCUGGGGAGUACGGCCGCAAGGUUAAAACUCAAAUGAAUUGACGGGGGCCCGCACAAGCGGUGGAGCAUGUGGUUUAAUUCGAUGCAACGCGAAGAACCUUACCUACUCUUGACAUCCAGAGAACUUAGCAGAGAUGCUUUGGUGCCUUCGGGAACUCUGAGACAGGUGCUGCAUGGCUGUCGUCAGCUCGUGUUGUGAAAUGUUGGGUUAAGUCCCGCAACGAGCGCAACCCUUAUCCUUUGUUGCCAGCGGUUAGGCCGGGAACUCAAAGGAGACUGCCAGUGAUAAACUGGAGGAAGGUGGGGAUGACGUCAAGUCAUCAUGGCCCUUACGAGUAGGGCUACACACGUGCUACAAUGGCGCAUACAAAGAGAAGCGACCUCGCGAGAGCAAGCGGACCUCAUAAAGUGCGUCGUAGUCCGGAUUGGAGUCUGCAACUCGACUCCAUGAAGUCGGAAUCGCUAGUAAUCGUAGAUCAGAAUGCUACGGUGAAUACGUUCCCGGGCCUUGUACACACCGCCCGUCACACCAUGGGAGUGGGUUGCAAAAGAAGUAGGUAGCUUAAC
rnacentral:rRNA from 1 species